rnacentral:rRNA from 1 species
UACGUAGGGUGCAAGCGUUAAUCGGAAUUACUGGGCGUAAAGCGUGCGCAGGCGGUUUUGUAAGACAGGCGUGAAAUCCCCGGGCUUAACCUGGGAAUGGCGCUUGUGACUGCAAAGCUAGAGUACGGCAGAGGGGGAUGGAAUUCCGCGUGUAGCAGUGAAAUGCGUAGAUAUGCGGAGGAACACCAAUGGCGAAGGCAAUCCCCUGGGCCUGUACUGACGCUCAUGCACGAAAGCGUGGGGAGCAAACAGG